rnacentral:tRNA from 1 species
GCCUUUGUAGCUCAAAGGAGAGCAUUUACCUUGUAAGUAAGAGGUUGUAGGUUCAAAUCCUACUGAGGGCA